GCGGUCGUGGUUCAAUGGUAGAAUUCUAGCCUUCCAUGCAGAGACUUGGGUUCCAUUCCCGGCCGCUGCA
rnacentral:tRNA from 1 species